rnacentral:tRNA from 1 species
GCGCCCGUAGCUCAAUCGGAUAGAGCACCGGCCUUCUAAGCCGUGGGUCUCAGGUUCGAAUCCUGAUACUCCCGCCA